UACGAAGGGGGCUAGCGUUGCUCGGAAUCACUGGGCGUAAAGGGUGCGUAGGCGGGUCUUUAAGUCAGGGGUGAAAUCCUGGAGCUCAACUCCAGAACUGCCUUUGAUACUGAGAAUCUUGAGUAUGGGAGAGGUGAGUGGAACUGCGAGUGUAGAGGUGAAAUUCGUAGAUAUUAGGAAGACCACCAGUGGCGAAGGCGGCUUGCCAGAACGCGCGUCGACGGUGAGGGAUGGAAAGCUGGGGGAGCAAACCGG
rnacentral:rRNA from 1 species